GGAAGCACUUCAGUGUGAGUGUGUGAUAGUCCACAGGGACUAAUUAGGUUUGUUCCUGUUGGGGUACAAACAGUUCCAGGCUGCAUUUUGCUUGUAAUAAUUUGUUCUUGUGCAGCUAGUAUUUAUCUUGCAGCAAAGAAGGUCUGUGCUUUGCCUGUGCCCCUUGAGCAGGGACUUGACUUCCAUGAAUUUUGAUGAGCCUGUUUAGGUGACUAAAGGACUCUGCAUAUCUGUGGGGGUGUACACAGACAGCAUGUAUCUGUAACUUCUCUAGCUGCCUGCUUUGUAAUGCUCCAGGUCUAGCUGUGGCACUCUGGCUGUCCAUCUGUCGUUGUCCUUAUUGAGUCAUUUGAUUUGACCCUUUGAAAGCUCACAUGUUCUCUAGCUUGAAGUGUGUUUUGCUCUAAGUGAAGGCUGAGCACCUUACGUAGUCAUAGCUCUCCUGGAGCUGAGGCUGCAAGAGGAAAUAACCUAAUUGCAUAAAACUUAGUAACCCUUACAGCUAAAACUCCAGGUGCCAGUCUCUCCUCUGAGAGAUCAGACCCAUGUCACUCUGUAGUCCUGGCCCUAAGCUUUUUGAAGCCCUUAGAAACUCCCAUCACUUUGUAUCUGGCAAGCUGCUCUAACCAUGAUAUACUUACUAUUUUUCUGAGGGAUAUGGUUAUUAUUACUAUUAUACUUUGCCUUCUUGCUGAAUACAGCAGUCAGCAACCUGUAUAACCAGAGCUGGAGGUGCUGCUCAGUCCUCUGUGAAACCAGACCCAUCAUGUUGCCUUUGGGCUUCUUUGAACUUCGAAGAGUCCUCCCAAACUAAGAGGCUCUUCUACUUGACUGGGUACUCUAGUCAUAACAUACUCAUCCCUUAUCUGAGACGGAGUUAGCUAGUUCACCCAAUCUCCUUGCUGCAUUAGCAAAGGCUUUCCAUGCUGGCAGAGCAGCCUCUGUCAGGGAAGCCCAGAUGUGGGUGAAGCAGGCUAAUUUUAAUGAGCUAUUGCUCACACCUGGUGAUGGAGAGGGGCCUGGGGGCCUCUUCCAGGGAAGCCCAGAGCUGACUCUAAGGAGUUGCUGCUUGUGUCUACCUGGCUCCACACCUCAACUUGCUCAGAGGAGCUGACAAAGCCACUGCAAGGAACUCCUCAACAGCCAGGCUUGCUGGUGCCUCCAGAGCUUCUCAGGAGAAUAUGAUCACGUAUGCUUGUGGAUGCUGGGAGGAUCUGAUGUCAGCAUUCAAAACUGACGGAGAAUACAGAGAACCAAGUUGCUCAAGUUGGAAAGAAUUGCGUAUCCCAAGACCUCUGUCCCUGGACUCCAACAUGUGCACAGCCGGCUUCUCCCUCUCCUUUACCUGGGUCGCUCUCUUGAGCUUGAGAUCACAGCGGUGACUUGGAGAGAAUAAAGUGUCGAGUGGGGAGAAUCCAUUCUUGCCUGCGGUAUCCCUCAGGAGGACAUCUGGUGCUUUGGCCUCAACGUGACCUACAGAAACGUCUCUUGGCAGGCAAUCAAUGAUGGAGAAGCCAAAGAGCAGAGAGGCCCGGAUUCAUGCAACAAACCCGAGUCAUGGCUGGAAACUAAACUCAGGUCCAGGGUUUAUUUUGCUAGGUCAUAUUGCAUUUGCAUAGGAGUAUCAGUGAGCCUACUUGUGCACUUCCUAGGACACCGGACAUCAAACUCCCAUGUGGUAAAACUAGAAACUCAGUGGGAAUUAUCCAUAUCUGUCACUCAGACCUCUUAUUGCAAAUCCCAGCAAAGUGAAUGCAACUAUUCAAGGAGGAAGGUAGAAUUUGGUGUUAGAAUAGUGUGUGUAUUAGGAGACCACCUAUUUCUUUUGAGUUAACCUGAAAGCAAAACCUUUUGAAAUGUUUAAUCCAAACACAAAAUUGUAGAAAAAAUAAAAAAAAAGUUUCAGGCCAAGCAACAUUAAAAAACAAAACAAAACAAAGUUGUUAAAUUUCGUAACAAAACACCAUUUUGGAAAAGGUGAAAAUGAGUCGGGAUUUUGUGGCAGGGGGGCAGGGGGAAUGUAAUUUUAACAGAGGGAAAUGUUUCACUGAAAUCAACAGGAACUCAUCAAGCAUUUCAGUUGACCCCAAACUGCACAUUCUCGGGUGAAAAAUGUUCAGAUGAGAGACUUCACUGAGCAGAAGAAGGGGAUCAAGCUUGUCCUGGUGCAGAGGCUUUUACAAUCCAACUUGAGCUUUCUCAGAGAUGAAGUAAAGCUAAUGUCUUGUGAUGGUCCACAAGGUAAAGCUUCCCUAUGUGUCUAUUUUAGC